GUAGUAGGUUCGACCAGGUGCCAAGGUUCCUCUGUUUCCUCUGCUCAGUGGGAUGAGGUAGUAGGUCAGACCAGGUGCCAAGGUUCCUCUGUUUCCUCUGCUCAGUGGGAUGAGGUAGUAGGUC